rnacentral:rRNA from 1 species
GACGAAAAAUGAAUACCAAGUCUCAAGAGUGAACACGUAAUUCAUUACGAAGUUUAAUUCAUUGAGCAUCAAACUUUUAAAUUGAAGAGUUUGAUCAUGGCUCAGAUUGAACGCUGGCGGCAGGCCUAACACAUGCAAGUCGAACGGUAACAGGAAGCAGCUUGCUGCUUUGCUGACGAGUGGCGGACGGGUGAGUAAUGUCUGGGAAACUGCCUGAUGGAGGGGGAUAACUACUGGAAACGGUGGCUAAUACCGCAUAACGUCGCAAGACCAAAGAGGGGGACCUUCGGGCCUCUUGCCAUCAGAUGUGCCCAGAUGGGAUUAGCUUGUUGGUGAGGUAACGGCUCACCAAGGCGACGAUCCCUAGCUGGUCUGAGAGGAUGACCAGCCACACUGGAACUGAGACACGGUCCAGACUCCUACGGGAGGCAGCAGUGGGGAAUAUUGCACAAUGGGCGCAAGCCUGAUGCAGCCAUGCCGCGUGUAUGAAGAAGGCCUUCGGGUUGUAAAGUACUUUCAGCGGGGAGGAAGGUGUUGUGGUUAAUAACCGCAGCAAUUGACGUUACCCGCAGAAGAAGCACCGGCUAACUCCGUGCCAGCAGCCGCGGUAAUACGGAGGGUGCAAGCGUUAAUCGGAAUUACUGGGCGUAAAGCGCACGCAGGCGGUCUGUCAAGUCGGAUGUGAAAUCCCCGGGCUCAACCUGGGAACUGCAUUCGAAACUGGCAGGCUUGAGUCUUGUAGAGGGGGGNNNNNNNNNNNNNNNNNNNNGUAGCGGUGAAAUGCGUAGAGAUCUGGAGGAAUACCGGUGGCGAAGGCGGCCCCCUGGACAAAGACUGACGCUCAGGUGCGAAAGCGUGGGGAGCAAACAGGAUUAGAUACCCUGGUAGUCCACGCCGUAAACGAUGUCUACUUGGAGGUUGUGCCCUUGAGGCGUGGCUUCCGGAGCUAACGCGUUAAGUAGACCGCCUGGGGAGUACGGCCGCAAGGUUAAAACUCAAAUGAAUUGACGGGGGCCCGCACAAGCGGUGGAGCAUGUGGUUUAAUUCGAUGCAACGCGAAGAACCUUACCUGGUCUUGACAUCCACGGAAGUUUUCAGAGAUGAGAAUGUGCCUUCGGGAACCGUGAGACAGGUGCUGCAUGGCUGUCGUCAGCUCGUGUUGUGAAAUGUUGGGUUAAGUCCCGCAACGAGCGCAACCCUUAUCCUUUGUUGCCAGCGGUCCGGCCGGGAACUCAAAGGAGACUGCCAGUGAUAAACUGGAGGAAGGUGGGGAUGACGUCAAGUCAUCAUGGCCCUUACGACCAGGGCUACACACGUGCUACAAUGGCGCAUACAAAGAGAAGCGACCUCGCGAGAGCAAGCGGACCUCAUAAAGUGCGUCGUAGUCCGGAUUGGAGUCUGCAACUCGACUCCAUGAAGUCGGAAUCGCUAGUAAUCGUGGAUCAGAAUGCCACGGUGAAUACGUUCCCGGGCCUUGUACACACCGCCCGUCACACCAUGGGAGUGGGUUGCAAAAGAAGUAGGUAGCUUAACCUUCGGGAGGGCGCUUACCACUUUGUGAUUCAUGACUGGGGUGAAGUCGUAACAAGGUAACCGUAGGGGAACCUGCGGUUGGAUCACCUCCUUACCUUAAAGAAGCGUACUUUGCAGUGCUCACACAGAUUGUCUGAUGAAAA